rnacentral:lncRNA from 1 species
GGGAAGAGCAAGGGAGAGGAGGAAAAGAUAAAGAGAGAGGAGAGGCGGAAAAGAGAGAGAGCAAGGGGAGGAGGAGAGGAGAGAAGUGAGGAGGGGACGGGAGAGCAGGAAAGCAGAGGAGAGGGGAGGGGAGAGAGGGAAGGAGAGGAGGCUGAAAUAUAAGAAACCUCACAGGUAAGCAAUGUUGGAAAAAGUUGUUCAUCAGAAAAUUAAUGUGUCGUAUUGCUUGUCUCCACUACUCUUGUACACUCUCUUGCACCAAAGAAGAGAUGCCUGGGAACUACAUUUUCCAUUGUCCCUUGGUAAAAGUUUCAGGUUAGAUUGAGAAACGUUGGGCACAAUUUGGAAGACAGAAGAGAAGACAUGAUUUUUCCACUGCACUUGUGAGAAGACACAUAGGCACUAAGCAAGGCAAUGGGGUACCAUUAGCUCACAGUAGACAAAGGAAGUAGAAGUUUCUAACAUUAGUGCCUUUUCUUUGGAAUGUAAACUAACCAUCUCCUCUGAGAAGGUAAGAGGGUCUAUAUAGUUUCACUGCAAUGGAUUAUAAUAACCAUUUCCUGGGACAUAAAUCUAUAAAUCAUUACGAAGUAAUACACAAUCUCUAGCUUACAGGGCACAUACAAUCAAUUAUUUUUUUCUUUAUUUUGAAUUGACAAGUAUAAACUCUCUAUGUUUAUGGUGUACAUGAUGUUUUGAUAUACGCAUACCUUGUGAAAUGGCUAAAUUAAACUGUUUAACACAUCCAAUAUAUGCAUUACCUCACAUAAUUUUUUCUGGUGAGAACACUUGAAAUACACCCUUUUAGAAAUAUAUCUAUAAUAUAUUGUUAUUAACUGUAGUCAGCAUGAGGUCAAUAGAUUUCUUGAACUUGUUCGUCCUAACUGAAUUUUUUGUGUUCUUGCCCAGUGCUCUUUGACAGAAAUCCCAGAUCAUGAACAUACAUGAAAAUAUUCAUGGAGAAUUGUCUCCUACCAAAUUUUAUGGAAAACUCAUAUUUCAAAAAAAGACACGUCUAAGAAUGAGGGAGAUAAUGAUCACAACAGAUGACUCCACCAAAUCUGAUUAUCUGAUGACCCAUCCAGUGGGUGAAAAGUCACUUUUCUUCUAUAUCUCAUACAUGCUUAAACUUAACACAAAUCAGUGGUGAUGCUUAUGGAAUUAGCAAGAAACACUGGAAUACUUUGUUUUUUAGAGUUUACAUUAACUCAGUAAAAUGUAUUUCCAAUAUAUGACAUUAAUAUGUCAGGUGCUCUGUGCACUUUAUGGUUUAUGCAUCUAUUUAUCAGUGAACCAUUUGCCCCAAUCUACAACACAGGAUCUCUGAGCCUAGAACUGGCACCUUCUUUCGAUGCAUUUAAUCUUGUAAAAUGAAACACUAUUGUGCCUUGAGUGAAAGCCUAGAUAGGAAUAUUUUGAUUUAGUUUUGUUUAUAACAUGGCUAGUGGGAAUUUUUUCUUGUUUUUGCAAUUUCAUAAUCUAUCCAUACAAAUAUCUAGGAUGCUUGAGUUUUUAUCUUUUUCUGUUUGUUAAUUUCACAGGCCAAGCUACAUUUGGCAGUAUUUCUCCCCUAUCAUUUUAAACUGAAAAUCCCAAGACUGAUAAAAUUUCAAAACUAAGCUGAAAUAAGAAGAAGGAAAAUAGUGUUUCCGGUGUUUAUCAUUCCACUGGCCCAACAACAAAAGCCAAUCAUAUUCAACUGAAAUAAUUUCAAAUUACUUAUUUAAUACUAGAUGUAUGCCAACUAGGAUAUUAGAUAUAAAAAUACCAAGUAAUAUAAUUUAUGUCUUUAAGUUCAAUAGCUACCAGGGAACAUAGACAUGUUAGCAAUUAAUUAUAAAAGAAUCCUAGAGUGUCUUUUUUAAUUGUGUUUACAAAGUUUUAUCAAAGCCUAGGGGAAUCAGUCACUUGGUUUUACACAAGUUAUUUGGUCAAGUGAACUUUUUUUUUUUUUCACAAAUUGAAGCAUCUGACUAUUUCUAACACUGUGAUCCACAGUAUUAAGACAAUUAAAAUGCCAUAUUUAGGGAAUGUAUAAAUGUAUUAUUUUUCUUUAUGCAAAUUUCAAGUUGUUUAUUAUAUUCAGAAUGAGAAACAUUACAAAUAUAGAAAAUGCUGCAAAGUCAGCUUGGUUUUUGUACUUUCAUAUGAACUAGUCUCUGAGUACCCAGAUUAAUUAGCUAAUCACUGCAUUGUCAAGUCUCUAUAAUGCUCUCUGCUGUAUCCUAUCACUGACUUUUUCUGGGUUAAGAUUUAUUUUGGGAAUUGAGAGCCAAGGCUGGAACACACUGAACAGAGUGUUCUAUUUCUGUGUGAAAUGAUAGAUGUUGCUCUUGCCCAGAAUGAAAAUGCUUUGCACUGCUCCCAAUCUGUAAACUGUUCCAUUUGCUUGGCAUAAUAAGUAUACUGAUGUAUUUAAUUCUGUCUACCAGACCCAUGCUGUUCAAUUCCCCUCUGCUAGCCAAAUAUACCAGAAGUCAUAAAUUUCUCUCCAAUAAGGAAACUGAAUGUGAUCUCUUCUAUAAGUAAAAGCAGUGUUAGUGUCCUGUUAUUAUUUUUUGGAGUUACCGUAUGUUUUAAAUCCAAGAUUAGCAAAAGAUUUGUUAUAAUCUUUUCACUUUUAUCAACUACUUAGUCCAGCAAACAUACUGACAAAAUAAUUGUAUAUGCUCAAAGGUACAGUCUGUGGAAAUGAUUCGUUGUUUGUAUAACUACCACUUUCUUUCAAAAUGAACCUUCAUUUUGUUGUCUCCUUUUCAC